GGGGUUCUCCAAAUCAAUCGAUGUGGGAAAGUUGAAACAUUACAGGUUGAAGAUUAUGGGGAGUAUGUUGUUCUCAACACAAAAUGCACACUGAGACCGUGUCCGGAGAGAUUAAAGGGGAUUGUAAUUUGUGAUAAGACUGUAUAAAGUUAGCACAUUUGUAUGUAAUUUAUGGUGGACAAAUGUAGUUCUUUAAAUUUUUUUUUUGGAUUGUAAUUCUCUUUAGGGGGGCAAGCCAAGACACUAAUGUUUGUUCACUUUAGCCCUGAACCGGAUGCUGAUGGAGAAACAUUUAGCACAGUUAAAUUUGCAGAGCGAUUUGCCAUGGUAGAACUUGGUGCUGCUCGUGUAAACAAGGAUAGUGUAGAUGUGAAAGAGCUGAAAGAACAGAUUGGUACUCUGAAGGCAGCUCUGGCAAGGAAAGAGGAAAACCAGAGGACAUGCCACAUGCGUACUGGUUUGUGGUAGACUCACCU